rnacentral:rRNA from 1 species
UACGGAGGGGGCAAGCGUUGUUCGGAAUUACUGGGCGUAAAGGGCGCGCAGGCGGUUUCGUUAGUCAGAUGUGAAAUCCCCGGGCUUAACCUGGGAAUUGCAUUUGAUACUGCGGAACUAGAGUUCGGGAGAGGGUAGUGGAAUUCCCAGUGUAGAGGUGAAAUUCGUAGAUAUUGGGAAGAACACCAGUGGCGAAGGCGGCUACCUGGACCGAUACUGACGCUGAGGCGCGAAAGCGUGGGGAGCAAACAGG